rnacentral:tRNA from 1 species
AAAGAAAUAAUAUAAGAAGCUUCUAACUUCUAACAGAGCAAAUAUUUGUUCAU